UAGGGAAUCUUCGGUAAUGGACGAAAGUCUGACUGAGCAACGCCGCGCGAGUGAAGAAGGUUUUCGGAUCGUAAAACUAUGUUGUUUGAGAAGAAGAAGGACAUUAGUAACUGAACGUCCCCUGACGGUAUCUAACCAGAAAGCCACGGCUAACUAAGUGCCAGCAGCUGCGGCAAUACGUAGGUGGCAAGCGUUUUCCGGAUUUAUUGGGCGGAAAGCGAGCCCAGGCGGUUAAUUAAGUCUGAUACGAAAGACCCCAGCUCAACCGGGGAGGGUCAUUGGAAACUGGGUGGCUUAAGUGCAGAAGAGGAGAGUGGAAUUCCAUAUGUAGCAGUUAAAUACGUAGGGAUAUGGAGGAACACCGGUGGCGAAGGCGGCUCGCUGGUAUGUAACAGACGCUGAGGAUCGAAAGCGUGGGGAGCAAACAGG
rnacentral:rRNA from 1 species